UGUGCGGAGGAUAAGAUGCCGGCGGCGGAGGAUAAAGGUUCGAUGAGGGUUUGAACAUAUUAACGAGAUCGAACGGAGGAGGAUUGUGAGGGUUAGUAUUACCAGGUGAAGACGCCAUGGAUAAUUGCAGAUUUAAGAUCGCUGAAGCUAGGGUUUGCGAAAUCGAUCAAUAAAGAGGUGCAAAUGAACACAGAGCUCCUUGAAAAGAUUCCACAAAAAGAAGACUCGGCGGAUCUGAUAGUCACAGAGAGAGAGAGAAGCGAAGAGCGACAAUAGAGACGAUGAUGACUUGAAAGUGAGAACAGGAAGAGAACUUUUGGAGACUUACUUCAUUAUUCCUUUAUUUAAUGAAAAACUAAAUGGGGCAUGAUCCAGAUCUCGAAAAGUUAGGGGUGAUAAUCGUGUUCGUUAUAAGAAUAUGAGGAUGGCUUCUGUAUAAAUUCAAUUUUGUGUUUGGGGCUUACUUUCCGAUAUUGGGCCUUAUAUAUUCAGUCCACGAAAUCCCCCGAAUCGUUCCUUUGGUGUACUCACUUGUUUUAACUGCACCUGUGCAUUUUUCCUUGUCACCAUACCUUUGUUGAAGGAGAAGAAGAUCCAAGAAUAGUCAGCUCCAUAUCUCAAAUGCUAACGCAACAUAAUCAAGGAACAGUACCAAACAAAACAAUUCGGAUUUUGCUACGUAAAUCCUCAAUUUCUCUGUUUAAUGUGAAACUGGACCAUAUUCACCUACCCAAUGAAUCCUUAAUUUUUUUGUGUAUAAUAAUAAAUAAGUUGAUCGAAUAUAGAGAAUUUCUUUCAACUAAAAAUUAGAAAGAAGUUAUAUAUCGUAGUAAAAUUGAAUUUUUUUCCUAUUUAUCUGACUUCUUCUUUGUUACAGAAAAAUCUUAUCUAUUUGAAAUUCAACAAAAUCGUUUAAGUGGAUGCAAUGCAACGAAAUAUACUACAAUUUUGAUAUAUUACAAGAGGUUAAACAUGAAUAUUAAAAUUGUAAAAGUGUCGCUUGACCCGUAUCAUUAGGCAUGGAUCCACCUCUAAAAGUCCACUAGAAUCUUCUCAACAAUAUAGACGUAGAAACAGCGAGAUUUUACAUUUACAAAACAAAAAAAAAAAUUGAAAGGCAAAAGAAAAACAACAAAAAAAUCUUAAAAAGUAGAUACAGAAAUUGUUUUCUUUUUUUUGUUUUCUCCUAUGUUGUGUGAACAAGAGAGAGAUAGUGAGUGUUGUGUCAUUUGCAGCUCAUCAGCAUGGAGUUGAUGACGUGCACUAUAAGUCUGAUCGCAGAGGCGUCACUGCCUGAAGCGUUACGGUGGUGGUGCAGAAUCUGAUAGACUUGUUCAAAGAUUGGUCGAGCGUGGACCGCAAUCACCUGGUCUGAUGGGUUUAUGGCCGCAACCACAUCAGUCAUCCAACCAAGCUUAAGAGACGUAUCCUUGUUGAUGUCGCAAGCUAGCUGUUGUAGCAGUGACAGAAGCACGCCUUGGCUCAACGGAAGCGGACUCAUAGCCAGUAGUUUAUGAAGAUCCACCUGAAUUAGCACAAAAACCAAUGUCCUGAGAUCUUUCUGUAAAAACUAAUGGUUAUCAGAUUUUAAUAUGUGUAAUCUAAACCAAAUUUCACCUGUGAGCAGAGCCAUGAAACUAUAGAGACAUCGCUUCUCUGUAGAGCUGAGGUAAACGAUUCUUCAUACUUGCGUUCAGAUAUCAGGCUGGAUAGUUCAGCUCUUGGGUCCAUAAGUGCUUCAACCUGAAACAACAGGCAUUACGAAUAGACCACAUCGGUUUGGGAUUCAUGGUAAUUUAUUCCGGAUAUGUGCAAACCUUUUCAAGAAGACCACCCAAAGAUCCGCUACUUCGUUGAGUAAUCAAGGGGUUUGACCCACCAGAAUUUUCUCCAGCAGCUGCAAGAGCUAAGAGGUUCCUUUGACUCUCGGCUAAUUCACGACUUAAGGCUUGGGCAACUGACGACGUAGAAUUAAUGGUUUCCUGUCAAACUCAAACGAGUAGCAACUUUAGAAAGAGUUAAAAAACGACUGGAAUUUGCAACCGUAGCAGUUCUGGAACAAGGAUCAUUUUCUAUCAUACCCUUAAAGUAUGAGCAAGCUGGGAGUGUCCAGAGUCAAACUGUUGCUGGGCUGCGCUUGUGUGCUCAGCAAUACCUUUCUGAAAGGCGGAGUCCAUUUGAUCAAACAUGGUCUUGCAUGACCUCUCAAACGAAGGUAUGACUGAGGACUCCAGACUCGACCUAAGAGCAUCCUGAAGUAUAUAAAUUGCAAAAGUAUUUACGACAUUAGCUUCCUUUUUCGCUGAGCAGCUGAAAUUAUGUGCACAAGAAUCGUAUAUACGUUUACAAUGCAUCAUAAAACUAGUAAACAAAUCGAAUUUUUUACCUGGAGGGCUUGCCUGCCAGAGGUCUGAAAUUGGACUUGAAUUUGCCUGUUUAUCGUUGUUUCAAGUUUUGAAUUAACCGAUUUUUCAAGCUGAUUAACUGCUUUGUCACCAAUUCCUCUCUGCACAAAAGACAAAAUAGUUUUAUUUAUCAAUAUGGAUCUUCUCAUGAAUCAGCUAUAAAUUUCUAGUAAAUUACUAACCUGGAAGGACUCUGUGAUUGCAGAAGAUACAGUUUUUUCAAUAGCUGGUGUUACUGCACGUGCUAUGGCUGGACCAAUUGCAGCAUAUUCCUUCUUAAUCGUUUUCUCAAACAUGGCAUUUAAUUCCUUGCUCAUGAAGUUUGUCACUGCAUUCACGAUUUCCUGGGCAUGGUCAUGCAAUGCCUUUUCAUUUUUAGCAGUCUCCUCUUGUAAACGAGCCGAUAGAGCAUCAACAUUCGACUUGCUGAAUCUCUCAAUCAUUCUACCUAGAGCCACUUCUAUCCUUUUACCUUCUUUAUUGAUAGGGCCAUUGACAGCAUUUGAUAGUUGUCGCUGCAUCUCCUUCUGCGAAACCAUUAUCUGGAAGAAAAUAAUGUUUCAAGUCAGCAAUUUUUUUUUGUUUGACCAAAGAACGUCUUAUGAAGAAAGUACUAACCAAUCACGACAAAUGCCAGUUAUGUAUAACUUUAACAGCUUGUAUUUAAAACGAAUGCGACAAAAACACUGUUUUAUGCCAAAUUUACGUAGCAACAAGGUUAAUAGCAAAUCGGUGAAAUGAUGCAAGAUACAAAAACUGAUACUGUUAAGCAAUAGGGUAUGUUUCAAAAUCAGCAUGUCACCUGAUUCAAUGUUUCUUGCACAGCUAAGAUUUGAGGAUGUGAAUCUGUCAUGGGAUGACUUAAGCUCCGGCUUUGCUCACUGUAGGAGUCAGCCAGAUUGGCAACAUUUGAGGAUGUAGAAGACAAACCGGGACCCUGUGAACUUUUGGCCUUCUGUUUCUUCCCUUUGCUGUUUGGAGCUGCCGACUGUGGAAGCCCACUAGAUGAAACCGACUCGGGAAGCUUUGCAGACACAACUCUUGAGUCAAGGCCACUUUCAUCCCCAGCUUGUAAAGAUAGUCCAUAAGCCAUAGAGUUCUCUGGAAUGAAAGUUUCCUCUGCAAUAGGAUGAUGGUCUCUUGCCAUCUCAAUGCUGAGAUUCGAAACCUGUGAGCAAAACUUUUUAUCUCUACUUUCUGAAGUGUGAUUCCCAGUUUCUUCAAGAUUGUAAAUUUCACCAUUCUGUGUCGACGCUUCACCCACUUCUUUCACCUCAACUUCAGUGCCUCUUGCAUCGUUUUUAACAUCCUGAAUAAUUGCAUCUUUUUCUCUCUUCUCUUCAGUACUAAUGGAGGCCUCAGUGGAUGAAGCACCCAUAAAUAACUGUGCAGGAGUUACAAGAUGAAUGGGGUGUGUGAAAAAAGCUGUCGGGCUUCGAAUCCCAGAAACAUCAUCAUCAGCUGUAACAUUCUUGUCCUUGCUUCUUGAGCUUUCUAAAACAGGAGACACAUCCAAAUUUCUUUCUCCAACAGCAUCAAUUUGCCUAUCAACAGUAUAAUCAGCAGAAGGUGCUUUGCCACCGAGCUCAUGACGAGGUAAUACUUGAUCAAUAGCAUCAACAGGAGUGUGAUAGCCAGAAAGUUUACUUGAUAGUCUCGGACUUAGAGGAAGCUGGGGUGCAUGAGCGUACGCAGAACCUGCAUCACUAGUCUCAGAUGGCAGCCUAGAAGUUUUAUGAUCACGGUUGGAUGAAACAAUUGCUGGUGAUGUGGCCUCUCCUAAUGCAGAUGCCGCUGGAAAACUCGACGUGUAAGCAGUUUCAGAUCUAUUCACUAGAAUAUUUGGUUUAGGCACUGAAUCAACCGAAAGUAAUUCUGUAGGCUUCAGUUCACAUGAUUCUGACUUCUCUAAACCCACAUUCUCUAUAGGAGGUGGCAAGCACAAGCAUAGGUCCAAUGUAUAUUGCUGGAUUGCUAGAGUCUGAACACAAUAAACCUUAACAAUGGGUUCUUCUGGAGGGUCAUUUGUCCCUAUUAAACUCAAUAUAGGCAUAGUGACUGUAAACUCGGAUACGUAAUCCAUCCGUGUAUCAGCUGGACAAGAACCAUAGUCCAAAUGCACAGCAUAUAUGGCGUUCCUUUUCGCAUUUGCAAUUAAAAGGAGGCCUGCUUCAGACAAUGCUAUUACUUGGUUAAAAAAGGCCUCUUCAGCUCGUGGCUCAGUUGAACUUUUCAAGUCUAGUGUCUGGGUACACUUCCAUGUCUCAGCAUCAGCUGCUAGGAGCCACCCUUCUUCCCCAGCUGAGACCCAGAUUUUCAUUUCUCGAUUUAGAGGACCCUGCGAGAAGACCAUUGCCAACACUGACAGAGUCAGCAACUUAGCAGAAAAGGAGGCUACAAUAUAAAAAGUAAUAUCAACACAGCAGGGCCAUUUAGCAUAAGAUAGGGCUGUGAAAAGUUGGUAAUAUUAAUUCAAGAAAACUACCCCCGUGAUAAGUAUGAUGUGAUCAGGUCUCUCAGGUGAUGUAACAAAUGUGGCAGAAUUGACCGGGUUGCCAUCAUGAGGUCUCAAAACUGCCACUGGUUGAGCUUUACAAUCUUGCCAUAUCUUAACCUGUUGGUAUUAUGUAGAGGAAUAAGCCUCACGCACAGAAAAAUACCAACUGUUGCAAAUAUACCAACUGUUGAGAACAAACGAUACACAGUGCAAGUACAAGAUGAAGCUUAGCAAACCUCUUCAAUUUAGAAUCAGCUAGCAGAACCAAACUAAAUUAAGCAUCGGAAUCACUUCAAAUUUCAGUUCUUUAGAUCAAAUCAAUUUCAGAAAGGUUUUGAAAAGAAGUUGACGAAAAGUGGAGGAUUCGAUUAAAGAAAUUGAUAAGAACAAACACAAACCGUGCCAUCAACUGAAGAAGAAACCAGGCGCGUGGUCAUCCAUUGGCACAUUGACAAAUCGGUAACUUCUCCAUCAUGUUUCCCCACAAUCUGGACACCAUCAAUCAGUUUAUCAAGGGGACACUGGAGAGGUGCUUCGGCAGAGAAUACUUCACCUCUGCCAACUUUGGUAGUAUCAAUUCGCAGCACAUGUUUACCAAUUGAAACCACCAAAAUUUCCUGAAAUUUGAUUUUACGCAACCAGAGUGUAUAAGACACAGCAGAGAGUAAAUUGAAAAAGAAGCAACUUCCCAUGGGAACAGAAAUAUGUUUAAGUACCUGUUUGUGGGAGUGCCAACAAAUACGUGGAUGUUUGAUUUCUUCCUCUCCUAAUAUCUCAAGAGCAACAACUAUCUUUCCAGUAAUUUGGGGCUGAUCAUCUCCCUCAGACCCUUCCGAAAUUUGCCACACGAAUACUUUCCCAUCUAGACUUACACUGUUUGGAAGAAGUCAAAUAAAAAUAGACGUUAAGAUAAAUGAAAUCCCCAAAAUAGAAGAAUUUAAACCCAAAAAAAGAGACAGAAGAGUUGAAUGCGCUUCAUAUAGAGUAGAAAAGCCUAUUUACACAACAAUUUCAGAACAUUACCUAGCCAAAAGAUGAACAUCAUCGGCAAAGAAAGCCAUGUCCGUCACUCUCUGGACACAAUCACGUAGUUAAAACCAGAUGGAAAUUACUAAAUAAGUAACGAAUUGAAGAGUUGGAAAACAACCUGAGAGUGGCCUUUGAACAAAGACCUCAAUGCUGUGUUUAUAUUGAGAACCCGAAUGUUUCCUCCUUUCAAUCCGUAGCAUAUGUAGACCUUAUUCACGGCGAUUUGCCGACCCAAGACGAGCUGAGGAUCCGACCCGUAUUUGGUAAUCGGAGUCACCUCCAGCUGAGGCUGAAUCUCUCCAUGUAAUCUCACGUCAACAUCAUAAACAGCGUGUUCACCAACCAAUCGCCUUCCCUUGGGCAGCUUACAGCUCGGGACACGAAUAGGACCUGAAGGAAAUGACCGAGCGAUCUCGUGCGGAUUCACUACAGGGAGCUGAUGCGACGGCUCUUGGUUGGCCAUGGCGCCUCCGCCGUUGUUAUUGUUGAGGAGAGCGAGGAUCUGCGGUCCAGGAUUGUGAUUGGAACGGGGCGAUUGGAGAUUUAGAGGUUGCGUGGGAUGAGAUAGUGUUCUCUGUGGUUGCAAGUUAGUUGCGGAGGAAGUGGAAGGCAUCUCCGGUUGCUGAUAUUUCGUCUGAGUCACCGGAGAUGGUUGGACGGCAAUACUCGGCGGAACAUAGAGCUGCUGAUUGUACUGGUUCUGAAGAAAAGGGCCUGUAGGCGGAGGGUAAGAUGCCGGCGGCGAUGGAUAAGGAUUCGAUGACGGUUUUAAGAUAUUCUUGAGAUCGAACGGAGGAGGAUUGUGAGGGUUAGUAUUACCAGGUGAAGACGCCAUGGAUUUUGCAGAUUCAAAUCUAGGGUUUACGAAAUCGAUUGCUACAGAGUGUAUUUGAGUGUAGAAGUCCUACCAAAAAAAUUCCACAAAAA
rnacentral:lncRNA from 1 species